rnacentral:lncRNA from 1 species
GUGGAGGAGGAGGGAAAAGUUGGAACAAAAGUGAGUGCAAGGGAUAACGUUGUAAAAAAUUACCCAGACAAGGGCUCUGGCAAUAAAAAGUUAUAAUAACAACAACAACAACAGCAAUAAUAAUAAAAAAAAAAAAAAAGAACCGCCCUCAGAGAACUGAAAAUUUCCUCUCUGAAGAUUAGAUCUGAACAUCCUGUCAAACCCUGAAGCCGCUGCAGUGGGCGCUGCAUCCAGCACAGCUCAUUGGCUCUGAGCGGGCUUCGUUUUCGAAAGAGGAAAUGGUUAAGUGAAGACAGAGACACAGACAGAGACACAGGCACAGAGACAGAGACACAGAGAAAGACAGAAACAGAGAGAGACAAGAGAGAAAGAGAGACACAGAGAGAGACACAGAGAGAGACAGAGAGAGAGACAGAGACAGAGAGAUAAAAAGAGACAUACAGAGAAACAAAAAGACCACAAGAGAGAGACAGAGACAGCUAGACAGAUAAAGAGACAGAGACACACACAGAGAGAUAGAGAAAGAAGAUACUCAGAGAUACUGAGCAGGUGGCUGCCAGGGUCCAAUGGCCAGGGGUUUUUCCACCUUUGGGCAUCAGAGAGAAGGCAGGCCUGCAGCAGGAUGCUGAAGAGAGUGGUCAGAGCUCUCCCACAGGCAGUAGUGGACAGGGUCAGCCCCAGUUUACAAUGUAGCCAGGCUUGACCUGGAAACAGGCUUAUUUCAAACUUAUCAGAAAGUCCAUCGUGAACAGGCUCCCAGGGUCGAACUGCAUGGCCCCAGAUCCAGAGCUGGAAGGUGCUUGCGAGUUCAUCCAGUCUCCCCUCCAUUUUCCAGAAGAGGAAACUGAGGCACAAAGAUGUUCUCAUAGGCAGAAAGGAGCAGAGCUGAUACGUGGAUUAAAGUCCUCUUGCCCAUGGACAGGGCUCUAUCCACUGCACUACCUGAUCACUCCACUCAAAACCAGGGCAAUCCAGUGAGAGUCAGAGACUUCCCUUCCUCCCAGGGUCCGGGGGGCAUUCUUGGCUUGGCUGGGCACCAGGGAGU